UGCAGACUGGAGAAACUCAAUGUGGAACAUGGUGGAGAGAACAGAAUGAAACCUGGACUUAGAAAAUGUGAGUGUUGACUGCUGUGAAGAAUAUGACUAAGAAUAAGUCUUAAUUCAAAUGUCUGUGAUCUCACACUGGACCCAAACACAGUAAACAGACACCUCUCUCUGUCUGAGGAGAACAGAACGGUGACAUGUAGGAGAGAGGAGCAGCCAUAUCCUGAUCACCCAGAGAGAUUUGAGGACUGUAGACAGGUG